rnacentral:ribozyme from 1 species
AAGUACGAACAGAAAGAGAAAAAAUGCGUUUACUUCACUUUCCGGUUUUUUUUUGUUUCUUCCUUUUCUUGUCUUCUUUCCUUGUUC